GUGCACAUGAGUGUGUGGGUGUGCGCAGGUGGGUGCCGGCAGGGCCGUGCGGCUUGCUGUCUCCUCUGAGCCCCUGUCUGGAGAGGGUGGGAUGGCCGGGCUCUGACCACACUGUGCCCCAGAGCUCAGGGCCAGAGCUCAGCUCAGGAUGUGGUGAUGACGGUGUGGCUGGUGCAGCAGGUGCCACGAGGGCUCAGUGCAGUGUCCCUCUGUUGCUGGGUCAGGGAGACAGGCCUCGGUGGGAGCAGUCAGGACUCCAGCUGUAACUCCACUGCUCUUGACUUAAACGGCCCUCACCAGGCUGACCGGCUGACCGGAGACUGGGACGACGCUCUCACAGCCUCACUGUGCAGGAAGCGCUCCAUGGAACCCCAGCCUGGGAACUGGGAGUCAGCUCCGGCCCUCUGCUUUCAUGGAUGAGGACAGUGGGGAUUCUUUAAAAAGGGGGCCCCAACCCUCCUUCCCUCCCUCCCUCCAUGUCGAAGCUGGGGCCCCACCACUCCUCCCGUGGACAGCCAGAGCUGGAUUUGGGUGGGAGUGAUGUGACAUGGACCGGCUGGAGCUCAGGCCUCGGGGCCUCCUGCCUGACCCUGCUGGAGGCAGAUUUCCAUGGGGUCGGCGGGUCCAGCACGGCGGCUGUGCCCAGGGAAGCAGACCAGAGCGAAGUGCAC
rnacentral:lncRNA from 1 species